AGCUCAGCUGGUUCAGAGCAUCUGCCUUACAAGCAGAGGGUCGGCGGUUCGAAUCCGUCAACGCCCACAA
rnacentral:tRNA from 1 species